rnacentral:rRNA from 1 species
AUUGAACGCUGGCGGCAUGCCUUACACAUGCAAGUCGAACGGUAACGCGGGGCAACCUGGCGACGAGUGGCGAACGGGUGAGUAAUAUAUCGGAACGUGCCCAAUAGUGGGGGAUAGCCCGGCGAAAGCCGGAUUAAUACCGCAUACGACCUGAGGGUGAAAGCGGGGGAGUCGCAAGACCUCGCGCUAUUGGAGCGGCCGAUAUCAGAUUAGGUAGUUGGUGGGGUAAAGGCCUACCAAGCCUACGAUCAGUAACUGGUGUGAGAGCAUGACCAGUCACACGGGCACUGAGACACGGGCCCGACUCCUACGGGAGGCAGCAGUAAGGAAUAUUGGUCAAUGGGCGAAAGCCUGAACCAGCCAUGCCGCGUGGAGGAUGAAGGUCCUCUGGAUUGUAAACUCCUUUUAUAAAGAAGAACCCAUUUUCUAAAUGGGUUGACGGUACUUUAUGAAUAAGCACCGGCUAACUCCGUGCCAGCAGCCGCGGUAAUUACGACGACA